GAUGAACGCUGGCGGCGUGUCUAAUACAUGCAAGUCGAGCGAACGGACGAGAAGCUUGCUUUUCUGAUGUUAGCGGCGGACGGGUGAGUAACACGUGGAUAACCUAUCUAUAAGACUGGGAUAACUUCGGGAAACCGGAGCUAAUACCGGAUAAUAUUUUGAACCGCAUGGUUCAAAAGUGAAAGACGGUCUUGCUGUCACUUAUAGAUGGAUCCGCGCUGCAUUAGCUAGUUGGUAAGGUAACGGCUUACCAAGGCAACGAUGCAUAGCCGACCUGAGAGGGUGAUCGGCCACACUGGAACUGAGACACGGUCCAGACUCCUACGGGAGGCAGCAGUAGGGAAUCUUCCGCAAUGGGCGAAAGCCUGACGGAGCAACGCCGCGUGAGUGAUGAAGGUCUUCGGAUCGUAAAACUCUGUUAUUAGGGAAGAACAUAUGUGUAAGUAACUGUGCACAUCUUGACGGUACCUAAUCAGAAAGCCACGGCUAACUACGUG
rnacentral:rRNA from 1 species